AAGGAAUAACACAAGAAUGGCCUCAGUUUGGAACCGCAGCACCAUAUCCACCACCGGAUUCACCACCCGAGGAGGGUGGCACCACCGAUAAUUAGGGGAGUUUUCGUACCCUUUACCUUCAUUCAAUUGGGACAUUGAAUACUUUAAGUUUGGGGGUAUUGGGUUGUAGUUAGUAUUUUUAGUUUUGCGUGAUUAGUUUAAUUUAGUUUUGCAUAUAGUUUUACAUGAUUCAUAUAGUUUUUCAAGAUUAGUAAUUUUUAUGUGCAUGUUUAGAUUACAUUUUAGCAUAUAGUUGCAUGUUUAUAAUUGCAUACCUCACAGUUCUUACCGUUUAGAAAAAUUUUGUCUAGCCAAUGAUGAGAGUGAAGUUUUUAAAUGAUUUCUGAAUAUUUUGGAUAACAUGAGCUGAGAUGUAACGUUUUAUAUAAUUAAAUUCAUAAUAUUGUUUAAAUGCUUUCGGUUUGCACAAAUGUGUUCACAAGCACUUGGAGGUAUAAGAAGUACGUUGUGCCUUGCGCGAUAGACAAACGUAGUCUUAAAAAGAGAAAUAUGUGAAAAGUGACUUUUGGACUGUAUAAAAUAUUGAUUUUUAAACUUUGGGAAAACAUGGAUAUCUGUGUAUAAAAAAAAGAAGAAAAAGAAAGAAAGAAAAGUAGAAAUAACAUGGCUAAGUCUUAUUUUGGGGCCCUGGCUACUUAAGUAAGUACGCCCGAGGGGAUUGUCUCUACACCUAGCGCCCUAAGGUCUUUCAUGGUCUGGGAGUCGUUGGUCAAAAGCUCGCUAAGGGGUAGCAGUGUGCCUAAUGGAG
rnacentral:lncRNA from 1 species